rnacentral:rRNA from 1 species
AGCGUUGCUCGGAAUCACUGGGCGUAAAGCGCACGUAGGCGGACUCUUAAGUCGGUGGUGAAAUCCUGGAGCUCAACUCCAGAACUGCCUUCGAUACUGAGAGUCUCGAGUCCGAGAGAGGUGAGUGGAACUGCGAGUGUAGAGGUGAAAUGCGCAGAUAUCAGGAGGAACACCCGUGGCGAAGGCGGCUCUCUGGGACGGUACUGACGCUGAGACGCGAAAGCGUGGGGAGCGAACAGG